rnacentral:rRNA from 1 species
UACGUAGGUGGCGAGCGUUGUCCGGAUUUACUGGGCGUAAAGCGCGCGCAGGCGGCAGUCUAAGUCCUCUGUGAAAUCACCCGGCUCAACUGGGUGGCUGCGGAGGAGACUGGGCAGCUUGAGGGGCCUAGAGGCCGGUGGAACUCCCGGUGUAGUGGUGAAAUUCGUAGAUAUUGGGAAGAACACCGGUGGCGAAGGCGGCUCUCUGGACCGUAACUGACGCUGAGGCGCGAAAGCUAGGGGAGCAAACAGG